AUAGAAGUGAAUAAUUCUUGACAUGAGAAGUUGGUAGCAGCUAAGCUUAAGCUGGUGGUCAUGUUCAAGACUGUUCAAGAGAUUGGUGUUUACAUUCACCGGUUUCAUAACCUUGACCUUUUCCAGCAAGGGUAAGUAUAUUUCUAACCAUUCACUGACUGCAAACUUUUUUGCUGACUUUUUAAUGAAUCUUUCUGCUGGCUGCAUUUGUGAUUUGUUUAGAUGGUAUCAAAUUAAGAUUAGCAUGAGAUAUGAGGACAGUGAUAUCUUGGGAACUCAAACAAACGUAAAUCCGAAUUGCGCAAUUCACGACGGCGAGAUCUUUCAUUCCUCUUCCUCUUCCUCUCAACACACCAACCAAGCUAAUAAUUAUGAAUUAUGAAACCCUAACACUGUUUCUAAUUCUGAGUCCUCUACUUUUGCCGAUCUGAAACUGAGGUUUGUUCUUUUUCUUCUUCCUUUCUUUCUUCCGGUCACUUUUAUGUCAUUUACAUUGUAUAUAUUCUCAUUUAUUGCUAUCGUUGUUAAAAUUGGAAUCAAAUGCAAUGUCGUUUAAAUAAAUUUCUAUUUGCUACUCCCGUUAAUUGUAGCGAGUCAGCUUUGACAUACUUUUGGUGAAUAAUUAUUUCAUUUAAUGUCCAAUUUAGCUGUGUCGCCCCAUUUGUUGUCUUCUGAAUAUGGCAGGAUUUGAUGAAAAUUGAAAUGGCAAGUUGUUAGUAUUAUAAUCGUGUUUUUAUAAUAUUUACGCUGAAAAUGACACUAAAGAAAAAAAAUGGUAGCUACUAGUUUCAACAAAUUCUUUGGUUUCUUUUAGAUAUUUCCUCAGCGCAUGUGAAGUUCGACUAAUUUUUGAAUGUUGCAUUUUUACUCUCAACAGCAGUAGGCAGCUUUAUUUUAUGACUACCUCUUCUAGCAGGAGAAUUGCAGAUUGUGAAUGUUCAUAUAGAGUUUGAUAUUUAGAAGGAGAAGGAAAGAGUGUGUUUCUGUGGGUUGCUAUGUUGAGAACUUGGUGUUGAAUUGAUUAUUUUAAUUUGAAUAAGUAAGGAGGCGAGUUUUCAAAUGUUUUGGCGUUUACCAUGAUUAAUUGGUCUUAACCAUAGAAGUGAAUAAUUCUUGACAUGAGAAGUUGGUAGCAGCUAAGCUUAAGCUGGUGGUCAUGUUCAAGACUGUUCAAGAGAUUGGUGUUUACAUUCACCGGUUUCAUAACCUUGACCUUUUCCAGCAAGGGUAAGUAUAUUUCUAACCAUUCACUGACUGCAAACUUUUUUGCUGACUUUUUAAUGAAUCUUUCUGCUGGCUGCAUUUGUGAUUUGUUUAGAUGGUA
rnacentral:lncRNA from 1 species